rnacentral:rRNA from 1 species
AUUGAACGCUGGCGGCAGGCCUAACACAUGCAAGUCGAGCGAGCGGCGGACGGGUGAGUAAUGUCUGGGAAACUGCCUGAUGGAGGGGGAUAACUACUGGAAACGGUAGCUAAUACCGCAUACCAUCGGAUGUGCCCAGAUGGGAUUAGCUAGUAGGUGGGGUAAAGGCUCACCUAGGCGACGAUCCCUAGCUGGUCUGAGAGGAUGACCAGACACACGGGAGCUGAGACAAGGGCAAGACUCCUACGGGAGGGAGAAGUGGGGAAUAUUGCAAAAUGGGCGCAAGCCUGAUGCAGACAUGCCGCGUGUAUGAAGAAGGAAUUGGGGUUGUAAAGUCCUUUCAGCGGGGAGGCGUUACCCGCAGAAGAAGCACCGGCUAACUCCGUGCUAGCAGCCGCGGUAAUAC